GUGAAGGUGUACAUUAAUAACUACCCAGUGAAGGUGCUGUGUACAUUAAUAACUACCCAGUGAAGGUGUACAUUAAUAACUACCCAGUGAAGGUGCUGUGUACAUUAAUAACUACCCAGUGAAGGUGUACAUUAAUAACUACCCAGUGAAGGUGCUGUGUACAUUAAUAACUACCCAGUGAAGGUGUACAUUAAUAACUACCCAGUGAAGGUGCUGUGUACAUUAAUAACUACCCAGUGAAGGUGUACAUUAAUAACUACCCAGUGAAGGUGCUGUGUACAUUAAUAACUACCCAGUGAAGGUGUACAUUAAUAACUACCCAGUGAAGGUGCUGUGUACAUUAAUAACUACCCAGUGAAGGUGUACAUUAAUAACUACCCAGUGAAGGUGCUGUGUACAUUAAUAACUACCCAGUGAAGGUGUACAUUAAUAACUACCCAGUGAAGGUGUACAUUAAUAACUACCCAGUGAAGGUGUACAUUAAUAACUCCCAGUGAAGGUGUACA